GAAUUUGCAUAUUCAUUAAAAAGCUUAGAAUGACUUGGCAAAUUUAGCUAGAGGAAAAAAAACAUUAAGAAACACGGAUGUAUAUCUUCUAAUAGAAAAGAAAUAGUUUGUUGAGAUUAUUUUUUCUUCAAACAAAGUGUUAUCCUACAUUAAAGCCUGUGUAGAUAAUAUUAAUAUCAUUGAAUAUUUAUUGUACAUAAUGUUGAUAGGUAGAUAAGAGUCCUAGUGUUAACGUCACGGAGCUGGUUUCCUUGAUGUUAGCAUAGCACAGUUGACACUGUAGUAUAGGUAACUUAGGGAAGUACAAAUUGUAGAUCUAAAUACACAUAGUCUGAAUGAAGUAGGACUUUCACUUGUCAUUGGACAGAGAUUAAACAUGUGUGUGUUAAGGGGAAGAUAAUGUACGCUACAUGUUGUGAGGGAGAGAAUUUCGCCAGAUUGUUUUGCAUGUUUUACCUGUCUUCAUUUUUUUUUUUUUUUUGGUGAAGUGUGUAAUUCUUGUUGAACGCUGUUUGUUGAUUCAUUUCAAAGAAAAUAUGAUCCCAGCAAAUUUUUCCUUCAUCGUCAAACAAUCGAAUGUCUUUGCGAAAAUGUUUUAUUUCUAUUUGCAAUUUAAUACCAGAUUAAUUUUUAGAAUUAUUGUUAUCAAAUGUUGAUUUUUAAAUUUAUGAAAUUUCACACCUCUCUUCGAAUUUUAAUGGAAGGCAACUUCUCACACUAGAGUAAGAGUUAUCUUCCCUUUCAUAAUGUGGUGGUUUAUUUUGACAAUCAUUUUGUAAAAAUAUAUACAUGUAAUUGUUUCAUUCCUGAUCAACAAUAGAUGACUACAUGGAAAGUGUUUGAAUUGUUUACUUGUUUAAUAUUGUAUAAUAAUCACUACAAGCUACAUGUAUUGCAAAAUAAUUACAAUGCUAUCUUGUCCUAUAAUUGCUACAUGUUGAAAAGGGUUGUAUUUACCGUUUAUGAAGAUUUAAAAACAACAACAACAAAUUUUCAUGUUCAUAUGAAUUAUUUAAUGUAACUGUUGUGUAAUAUCGCAUGUUUAAAUUAUUUCAUCGUCAGAUUUAUAAUAAUGACUUCAAUUUCAAAAUGACUCUCCUAAUGAAUGAAUAUUCACUAGAUAACCAACAACAAUGCUUGGGCUGGGCAGUUUCUGUCUUCAUUUUAAAAGGAUAAUUAGGAUAAAAAUUAUCUCUUUAAUACUGUAAUAGCCUGUAUCAAUCUUGUUGUGACUAUUAGAUAGUUUAUUGUAUCCAUGUCAACAAAGUGACUUUGUUUGUUAUCUAUAGCAGCUGUUAUUUGUGUGAGAGCGCCCUUGUGUGUUGAUAAAGUGCUUUGUUGAAUUUGUGAGAUAUAUGGAAAAUAGAAACUUGU
rnacentral:sRNA from 1 species